rnacentral:rRNA from 1 species
AGAGUUUGAUCAUGGCUCAGGACGAACGCUGGCGGCGCGCUUAACACAUGCAAGUCGAGCGAGAACCGGUCCUUCGGGACCGGGGAAAGCGGCGAACGGGUGAGUAACACGUGGGUCAUCAACCCCCGACACCGGGAUAGCCCGGGGAAACCCGGAUUAAUACCGGAUGGCCCAACAGCUCUUCGGGGCGGUUGGAAAAGGUAGCUUCGGCCUCCGGUCGGGGACGAGCCCGCGGCGGAUUAGCUUGUUGGUGGGGUAACGGCCUACCAAGGCGACGAUCCGUAGCUGGUCUGAGAGGACGAUCAGCCACACUGGGACUGAGACACGGCCCAGACUCCUACGGGAGGCAGCAGUGGGGAAUCUUGCACAAUGGGCGAAAGCCUGAUGCAGCGACGCCGCGUGAGGGAAGAAGGCUUUCGGGCUGUAAACCUCUUUCAGGAGGGACGAAGCUACUCGGGUUAAUAGCCCAGAGGGUGACGGUACCUCCAGAAGAAGCCCCGGCUAACUACGUGCCAGCAGCCGCGGUA